rnacentral:rRNA from 1 species
UAUUGCCUACGGGGGGCAGCAGUGGGGAAUAUUGCACAAUGGGGGAAACCCUGAUGCAGCAACGCCGCGUGAGUGAAGAAGUAUUUCGGUAUGUAAAGCUCUAUCAGCAGGGAAGAAGAAAGACGGUACCUGACUAAGAAGCCCCGGCUAACUACGUGCCAGCAGCCGCGGUAAUACGUAGGGGGCAAGCGUCAUCCGGAUUUACUGGGUGUAAAGGGAGCGUAGACGGCGAUGCAAGUCUGAAGUGAAAGCCCGGGGCUCAACCCCGGGACGGCUUUG